rnacentral:rRNA from 1 species
GGUACAGAUCCAGCUUGCUGGAUGCUGACGAGCGGCGGACGGGUGAGUAAUGCAUAGGAAUCUGCCCGAUAGUGGGGGAUAACCUGGGGAAACCCAGGCUAAUACCGCAUACGUCCUACGGGAGAAAGGGGGCUCCGGCUCCCGCUAUGGGAUGAGCCUAUGUCGGAUUAGCUAGUUGGUGAGGUAACGGCUCACCAAGGCCACGAUCCGUAGCUGGUCUGAGAGGAUGAUCAGCCACAUCGGGACUGAGACACGGCCCGAACUCCUACGGGAGGCAGCAGUGGGGAAUAUUGGACAAUGGGGGCAACCCUGAUCCAGCCAUGCCGCGUGUGUGAAGAAGGCCCUCGGGUUGUAAAGCACUUUCAGCGAGGAAGAACGCCUAGCGGUUAAUACCCGCUAGGAAAGACAUCACUCGCAGAAGAAGCACCGGCUAACUCCGUGCCAGCAGCCGCGGUAAUACGGAGGGUGCAAGCGUUAAUCGGAAUUACUGGGCGUAAAGCGCGCGUAGGUGGCUUGAUAAGCCGGUUGUGAAAGCCCCGGGCUCAACCUGGGAACGGCAUCCGGAACUGUCAAGCUAGAGUGCAGGAGAGGAAGGUAGGAAUUCCCGGUGUAGCGGUGAAAUGCGUAGAGAUCGGGAGGAAUACCAGUGGCGAAGGCGGCCUUCUGGACUGACACUGACACUGAGGUGCGAAAGCGUGGGUAGCAAACAGGAUUAGAUACCCUGGUAGUCCACGCCGUAAACGAUGUCGACCAGCC